CAAAUAUUAUUAUUUCAAAAUGUUGAUACUGAUGACAAAAUAGAGGUCAAAUUUGAUAUUGAUGAUUUUCACUUUCACCAUUCAUCAGUAAUGAAAUCAUCUGAUAUUGCCAGGACACAAAUAAAUGUAAAUAAAUCCGGUUUGCUGUCGUUGUGACAGCCUCUUGUUGCAUGUUGUCCUCGUAAAUAGUCAAAGGAAACUAACUCUACCUCAGAUUCCAUCAAUUGAAAACUAUCUAAACUGACAUCUCAUAUUAAUGCAAGAAUGAUGCAUUCAUUUAAAUAUAAAAUUGCCAAAUUAUCCAUAAUCUUACGGAAUAUCUGUAAAAAAAAAAAAAUGAAAAAUAAAAGGUUGAGGGAGGGCCUGUGCAAUUGAAGAAUUUAACAGCUUGAAAAUAACCUACUCCAGAAUUUAGUAAAAAGUUUAUAUUUUAUAUUUAAAUUGUGCCACAUGUUUUAAGAUACAUGUGACCUCUCUAGUAAGUGAUUCAUUCGAGGAAGUCAAUGGUAUCCUUGAGAUGUCAUGUCCUGGUGUCAUUGUCUGUAGGGUUGCUGUCUCAUUUAAGUUAACUUCACAUCUCUUUUUAUUGAAUAGAAAUAAAACAGUAUAGACGUUCAGGGGGGACAAGAUCACAAGAGAAAAAAUCUGUCCCUUUACACUUGUGGUUCUGCAGUGAAUUAUGUAUUAUAUAUAAACAAUAAUGUCUUAAAAUAAGACUGUAUUUUAUUUAAUAAAUGUUUUUAAAGUAAAUUUUAUUGUUGUGAAUUAACC
rnacentral:lncRNA from 1 species